GCCUCGAUGGUGUGUAGUGGUAGCAUGCGUCCUCCGUACGGAUCAAACGCGGGUUCGACUCCCGUGUGAGGCC